UGUGAGCAAAGCUACUUUGGGUCACAAUUUCCAGUAGUAUUCAUGCCUUAUUUGUUGAGAGAAAGAGAAGACUGAAUAGAUAUAAGCUAGCUUAGAAUGGGUCUUCAUUCAAAGGAGGCGAGGAAACAUUACAACAAGAAAAGAAAUCAAAUGUGACUAAAAAAAGGAGCCUGCCAGCAUUAACGAAUUACCCCUCAUUUCUGAAUCAGAUCCAAACCUGAAUGAUGAGGCAGAGACUGAUGCUAUACAUGUAACUCAAACAGCUCGAAUUCCAUAUAAACCAUAGCAGCUCAAAUUCAACAAACACAAACUGCGCCAAGUCARUUCCCUGCAAUUUCAGAAAGCCAAUCAGCUCUAACACUACUCACCAAGACCUACAAAAUAGAAGAAGAGAACCAAGAAGAGAAUGGAAUUGGAAAUGGUCUUGUACUAUCUUUAUGGUGAAGGCCAACCAUGGUCGACACCGCCUAUGCUACUUUGUAUUGCAAGAAUGCAUAAGUAAAAUGUGCUUGGUUUUUUUAAUUAAUUAUGAAAGAAUUUCAUUUUUGAGAAUUUAUCUGUAAUUGAAAUAAGUAAGGUUUGUAUAAUCAACUGCUCCACAUAUUGAUCAGCCAGCAUUUGUUU